CCAAGAAAAAUCAAUUAAUGGAAAAAUAAAAUUUCUGUUAUAGAAAAGCAUUCUUUAAGUGGCUGACAAAGGCACACCACUGAAGUUUUCAGAUUCCACUAGACAUUUUUAAAAAGUGAUGUAAUCAUUUUAUUUUAAAAUGUUAACAUUUAUGAUUCUCUGGAAGUUAUAUCCUCUGCCACUAUAAACAGCAUUUUUGCCCUUUUCUCUUUUUAAAACAGCUGAUUCACAUUAAACGUACGUAGUACUUCAUGUGUUACAUAAAUGUUCUUGGUUCACAUAUUUCAUUUAAACUGAGUUAUGGUAAUUUAGUAUACUAUUGAUCAACACGACAAAUGCAUUAUAAUUCUGAUAAGCUUAAAAUGUCAACAAAAAUCUGUCAGGGAGGUUCACAAUGUUUCAAAAUUAUUUAGUCCAAACACCUAGUAUCAACCAUAAAGCUUUUGGUGAUACGACUCCUAGCUUUCCAGUUUUAUCUUCCAGUCUCUGGCACUUAAAGUCUUAAAUUCAAAGAAUUAGUCAGUCACAGUUUUGUGCUUUUGCUUAGUUUUCCAAAAGGAUAAAAAUCCUAUUAGAUGUUCCCUGCUCUUAUGAGCGCAAGCCCACCUGCUUAUUAGGCUAUUAAAUGUUUGGAAACCUCCUAAAUAAAGGAAACUGUUUAAAUUUGUUUAUUCCAGUAUCACCCAAAUCUGUGCAACUCUAGAACUCUUUUAAUAGCCCAUGAAAUUAGUGCUUCAUGUAACACCCUUUGGGAAAACAUCUGGCAAAAUAUUAAGACCCACUUUAAAAGUCUGUAACACUUUGCAAACUUCAGCCAAGGGGCAUCCCUUUCCUAGUAUUCCCAUAGGUUUUACAGCCUUCAACAGGGCUCUGCGAUGACUACAUGACAUAGGUCUGGCACCACAAUUCCUGGUUCCCAGCAGGAGUUCAAUGUUGGGUGAACAAAUGGCCAACUUAAAGAUGGACACGGGGACCACCCUGAUGAUACAGUGGUCACGACUCCGUGCUCCCAAUGCAUGGGUCCCAUCGCUGGUUGCGGAACUAAGAUCUCACAUGCUGCAGGACACAGCCAAAACAAAAAGAUGGAAACGAAGAGAAGGGGUGGAUGAUUCCCAAGCUCCUGCUUUGGUUGACUGGACAAGGGAAAAUACUCUGAAGAAAUAUAAGACUGGCAAGGAAAGCAGAGAGUCCUUUUUGGAUAACGAGGGAAUCAAAGUGGAAAUGCGCAGUCCACAGCUGCAUUUGACCCUGGGUAGAGAGGUGAAGAAUCUAUUAUAGGUGACAGAUGCAUGCAAGAAGCAAUGGCAUUAACCCUGGAAAAGAAAACUGAGUGGAAAAAACUAGGGAAUAUGAAUAUUUUAAAAGUGUGCAAAGAACAUUUCUCAAGCCAAAAAACUUGGAAUUCCCUUCAACUCCUUCCAUUUAGUCCAUCACCACCCUCUGUCACCUCUGCCUUCAGAAGCUAUCCAGAAUUCACCUCUUCUCCAUCUGCACUACCACAAACAGUUCCAGCCUAGACCACUGCAAAGGCCCGAACUGCAUCCAUUCAGGCCCAGACCAAUCCCAGACACCCUCCAUCCAGCAUCAGAAUGGCCUUUAAAAAAUGUUAGAUCAUGUGAUGUUUUUCCUUCAAAUCCUGCACUUGAUCUGACCCUCGCUUGCCCAGCUCUCGUACAAGCUGACUGCCUGCCACUCUGCCCAUACUGUCCCUCCUUUCUGUCCUUCACGCAANNNNNNNNNNNNNNNNNNNNNNNNNNNNNNNNNNNNNNNNNNNNNNNNNNNNNNNNNNNNNNNNNNNNNNNNNNNNNNNNNNNNNNNNNNNNNNNNNNNCUCUGCCCAUACUGUCCCUCCUUUCUGUCCUUCACGCAAGCUCAGUAGGUUCUUGCCUCAGAAACUUUCUGGUGGUAGUUCUAACUGGAAUGUUCUCUUCUGAAACUUUCAGCUGACUCAUAACCUCCUGUCAUUCAGCCCAAAUUAAGACAGAGCUGCUACUAUCAUAUCUAAAACUGCUACUAUAAAUCAUUCAGUAUCACAUCACUUUACAUUUUUNNNNNNNNNNNNNNNNNNNNNNNNNNNNNNNNNNNNNNNNNNNNNNNNNNNNNNNNNNNNNNAGAGUUUCAAUCUGUCUUGUUCACUGCUGUAUCCCUAGCAACCAAGAAAUGUUCUGACCUACAGUGGGCACUCAAAUAGUUUUUGUAUGAAUUAAUACAGGAAAGCAGGAGGAAAAGUCAGAAAGCUGGAAAGAAAAUCAGAAGAGAGUAGAAGCUAACAGAAGAGUCUUAGGAAGGAGGAAGUCAAAAAGACUGAUGACUAAGAAGCCACUGAAUUUGGCAAGUCCAUCUUUGGUGUCCUCUAAGGGGGCAGCUUCAGAAAAGUAGAAGAGGCAGAAGACAGAUUACAAUGGGGAAAUGAGCAAAUGGGAAGUGCGGCGGAAAGGGCAAAGGGAAGGAAGGAGCUAGGACACUAUUUUGAGGGUGAGAAAAGACAAAAGAAAGGAGAAUGUCUGUUCAUGUUGCAAGCUAAAGGCAAGGACCCAGUGGAAAGAGGAAUACUGAUGAAAAAGGAAAGAAGAUGCUAGGACAAGGUCAUGAAUGUUACAGGAAGAAAUGCAAUCCUAAAGCCACAUUACUCAUCUUUUCUCCAAAAUUAUCCCACAAUGUUUCAUGUUCAGAAAUACCUACUCUCUGAAAAUAAUUCAUUAUUUAUAUAAUUCUUACACAGGCUCAGUCUACAAAAUAAUUAUUAAAAUUCUGCACAUCUUUAGCUCUUAGAAGGUACACACUGACGUACGUGUUUGGGGUAGAGAGGUGUGCAGUGUCCUCACAGAUGGUUCAGAGAACAGAACUUUCAGAGAGAGAGAAAGGUAGCGAGGAGAGAAAGAGCAUGCGAGACAUGACGAAGCAAAUAGGGAACGAAGACGACAACGGGCAGAAUCUAACUAAAGGUAAGCAGACGCUCUUUGCACUAUCUGUGUGGUUAUGCAUAGAUACAAGUUAAAAGAGAGCGACAAAGACAAGUAAUAUUCCCUAAACAAUCAACAAUGUAUUAGUAAUUCUUUCCUAACAAACAAUAUAAUUUUCUACACUAAGCAGGAAAGGCAACGUCCAUGAAUGGCUGACAUGGAACUGUCAGAUUUCUUGGUAAACUGUCACAACAGCUUAAGAAGUAGGCAGCAAAAGUAUGACAACGCUGUCCAAAGGGUUCAGGCAUAAACCUUUAUAACAUUUCACCAAAGAAAAAUGUUCAAGCUAUUGUAGAAGGCUAUUUUCAUGACAAAAUUAACGUUUGUAUAUAGUGAGUGGUAAUUCUCUAUUAUUUGGCAUCCCUAAUAAAAAGAAGUCAAUCCUGUCACUAGAAAAUUACUAUUUGGUUUUCAAUGAGCACACGCAGUACAAAGAAAACCUAAUAAGGUCAUUCCUUGACAACUAGAGUAGAAAAAGUCUGAAGCACAGUUUCUGAUUCAUCUGUAACAGUAUCUACCGUAAAUAGAUACUGGUCAAGAUUUUGCUGUAAUGGAAUAUCCUAAGGGGGAAAAAAUAAGCAGAGAGUGGACUCUACUAGUAAAUUUGAUUUGAUCCAUUUUCACUUGUACAAAUGGUUUGCUGAUGGUAACUUUGCUAGGAAACGGAUGCCUAAGAGUACUACAGGACUUUUGGAAAAAAUAAGAAUAAUAUUCCUUAUGUAAGGAGUAUUGGGCUUCCCUGGUGGCUCAGCGGGUAAAGAAUUCACCUGCAAUGUGGGAGACCUGGGUUCGANNNNNNNNNNNNNNNNNNNNNNNNGAGAAGGGAAAGGCUACCCACUCCAGUAUUCUGGCCUGGAGAACGCCAUGGACUCUAUAGUCCGUGGGGUCGCAAAGAGCCGGAAACGACUUUCACUCAGGAAUAUUAAUCAGAUCAAAUACAUAUACAGAAUUGUCAAAAAUGAUAAUCACUUUCUCCCCUCCAUCUCUCUGGGCAAAGCUGUGCUUUCUCUCAAGGCCAAGAGGCAAGAACUCUCCCCCUCUCUGAACGGAAGGAGCCACUAAAAUGCCUUCUACUAAACACUCCUCUUCCAUUCCUAAAACUUCACUCCAGAGCCAAAGCGCUCACCUAGAAUCACGUGGAGACUGGAGCUAACAGGGUCCCUCUUCCUAGCAGGGAGGCAGUAGAGCACUUCGAUUCUAAAGUUUAACUCACGAAACCCAUGGGUCAAGGUUUACUGUGAUAAGACACCAACAUAGCACGACACACCUGAUCACCCAGAGGAGUGACUAACCGGCCAGGCUCAAGUUCUAACACACUCAGAACUCAUUUCUCUUCAAACAGCAUGUCCAGCUUCUCUCUAGUAGUUUAGGGCUAAAAAUAUCAUAGAGGAUCUAAAUUCUUAACUCUCCUUAAACAAACUGAAUCACUAAUAAUAUAUAUUCUAGCGGGUGUUCAAGGCAACUAUUUGUGUGUAAAACUGAGAUUUUUUUUUUUAUGGGCUUUCACUAUUUACUUAAAUGGAAUGACCACCCCAAACCUGAAGUCUUUCCUUUGAGCUGCACCCCUCCCUGUCUCCUAGGGCUUACAGUCUAGUUUUCAAGACACUUCUAAGGCAGCAUGCAAGGAUGUGCUUAAAAUAUUCAACAUAGCACAGGCAAUGCGUCUCUUUAAUGUUCUGACAAAGGAGAUUCUAACUGCUCUGGAGCAGGAUAAAAACUGGUUUUAAAGAGGAAGAUGAACUGGAUCUGAAGGAUGUCAGGAUUCUGAGAGGUGACGAAGUGGGUCUUACAGGCAGCCUUUCCAUUUAUGAAGUAUUUUCACCUGGACACUCAUUUCUUUUGAAUCUUACAAGAAUCCCAGAGGAAGUCAAACACAUCUUCAAUUUACAGAGAAGAAAAGUGAGGAUGAGAAGUCCUGACCAUAGAAGAAUUGAUAACAAUAAGCAAUGAGAUGUCCAGCAGUCCAGACUGAUGCGGGAGAGAAUAAGAAUAAUAAUACAAACUGGGCAUAGGGCCUGUGAGGGUCAUAGCAUUUAAAGGGUUAGAGACUAAAUACCUGAAUACUAAUUAGGGAAGAGUACUGCCAACAGCCCGGUGAGACCUAAUAAAGGCAUGAAUUAUAACAAUACACAGAAAUUAAAUUGGUAGUAUUUGUUCUAAACUUUAAAUUACCGAGAAAACAAUAGCAACGAAUCUUAUAAGUAGUUUCAGGAAGGAAAACCUCUAACCAACAAAAUUCCCUAGCACUACUGAGAGCCCAAGACGGUGUAAUAAUUUACCAACAAACUCUAAUAUCAUCAGAGGUUUUAAACAGGCUUCUAAUUAAAACUGGGACUGCCAACAAUACUGCUGUAAUCACAAAUUCCAGAGUUGCCUAAACAAAGAAUACUUUUGUACAUCUCAAUGAGCAGCACUAUGCCUUUACGAAGAUUUCCAAAGAUUCUUGACUUUCCAUUCAGAACAGUUUCAGUUGGUCAACUGAAGUCCGUCUUAUUUCCAUAUUUAAGCCCUGAACCCUGCAAAGAGCAAGGACUCAAAGAACAGCUGCAGAAUAAAUGAAGCCAUUAUCACAGGCAACUUUAAUGCCAGUCUGUUCCAAAACAGAGUUCUCAGAAUUUCGAAAUCAAGUCUGGAAGAAGACUCUUCCACCGCCCGGUCACCAGCCUUCCCUGCCGGGGCCUUACGGUCGGUCCUCGGGACCCUGUUUGCCAAGGCAAGGCCACAGUGCCAUUUCCCGCAGAUGACAACCGCUGAGUCCCAGCCAUGUUAGCCUCCCCGGAGCGAGACCCAAGGCGCUGCG
ensembl:lncRNA